rnacentral:rRNA from 1 species
GAUGAACGCUGGCGGCGUGCCUAAUACAUGCAAGUCGAGCGAAUGGAUUAAGAGCUUGCUCUUAUGAAGUUAGCGGCGGACGGGUGAGUAACACGUGGGUAACCUGCCCAUAAGACUGGGAUAACUCCGGGAAACCGGGGCUAAUACCGGAUAAUAUUUUGAACUGCAUGGUUCAAAAUUGAAAGGCGGCUUCGGCUGUCACUUAUGGAUGGACCCGCGUCGCAUUAGCUAGUUGGUGAGGUAACGGCUCACCAAGGCAACGAUGCGUAGCCGACCUGAGAGGGUGGUCGGCCACACUGAGACUGAGACACGGCCCAGACUCCUACGGGAGGCAGCAGUAGGGAAUCUUACGCAAUGGACGAAAGUCUGACGGAGCAACGCCGCGUGAGUGAUGAAGGCUUUCGGGUCGUAAAACUCUGUUGUUAGGGAAGAACAAGUGCUAGUUGAAUAAGCUGGCACCUUGACGGUACCUAACCAGAAAGCCACGGCUAACUACGUGCCAGCAGCCGCAGUAA